rnacentral:rRNA from 1 species
UACGUAGGUGGCAAGCGUUGUCCGGAUUUACUGGGUGUAAAGGGCGUGUAGCCGGGCCUUUAAGUCAGAUGUGAAAUCCGCGGGCUUAACCCGCGAACUGCAUUUGAAACUGAGGGUCUUGAGUAUCGGAGAGGUAAUCGGAAUUCCUAGUGUAGCGGUGAAAUGCGUAGAUAUUAGGAAGAACACCAGUGGCGAAGGCGGAUUACUGGACGACAACUGACGGUGAGGCGCGAAAGCGUGGGGAGCAAACAGG